UACGAAGGGGGCUAGCGUUGCUCGGAAUCACUGGGCGUAAAGCGCGUGUAGGCGGCCCGGUAAGUCCGCUGUGAAAGUCGGGGGCUCAACCCUCGAAUGCCGGUGGAUACUGUCGGGCUAGAGUACGGAAGAGGCGAGUGGAAUUCCUGGUGUAGCGGUGAAAUGCGCAGAUAUCAGGAGGAACACCCAUUGCGAAGGCAGCUCGCUGGGACGUUACUGACGCUGAGACGCGAAAGCGUGGGGAGCAAACAGG
rnacentral:rRNA from 1 species